rnacentral:rRNA from 1 species
UUGCAUUUCAAUAAGCGGAGGAAAAGAAACUAACAAGGAUUCCCCUAGUAAUGGCGAAUGAAGCGGGAACAGCUCAAAUUUAAAAUCUCUUCGGAGAAUUGUAGUUUGUAGAGGUGCUAUCGUUGGCAGCCUGGGUAUAAGUCCCUUGGAACAGGGCAUCAUAGAGGGUGAGAAUCCCGUCUUUGAUCCAGGUAC